AAAUGAAUAGACGGGGGCCCGCACAAGCGGUGGAGCAUGUGGUUUAAUUCGAAGCGACGCGAAGAACCUUACCAAGGUUUGACAUCCCGCCGACAGGGUCAGAGACGACUCUUCUCUUCGGAGCGGCGGAGACAGGUGGUGCAUGGUUGUCGUCAGCUCGUGUCGUGAGAUGUUGGGUUAAGUCCCGCAACGAGCGCAACCCUUGCCCUUAGUAGCCACCGGGUAAAGCCGGGCACACUAGGGGGACUGCCGUGGAUAACACGGAGGAAGGCGGGGACGACGUCAAAUCAUCAUGCCCCUUAUGCCUUGGGCGACACACGUGCUACAAUGGCCCAUACAAAGUGAGGCGAGACUGUGAAGUGGAGCAAAGCACGAAAAUGGGUCCCAGUUCGGAUUGUAGUCUGCAACCCGGCUACAUGAAGUUGGAAUCGCUAGUAAUCGCAAAUCAGCAUGUUGCGGUGAAUACGUUCCCGGGCCUUGUACACACCGCCCGU
rnacentral:rRNA from 1 species